UACGAGGGAGGCUAGCGUUGCUCGGAAUCACUGGGCGUAAAGGGUGCGUAGGCGGGUCUUUAAGUCAGGGGUGAAAUCCUGGAGCUCAACUCCAGAACUGCCUUUGAUACUGAGGAUCUUGAGUUCGGGAGAGGUGAGUGGAACUGCGAGUGUAGAGGUGAAAUUCGUAGAUAUUCGCAAGAACACCAGUGGCGAAGGCGGCUCACUGGCCCGAUACUGACGCUGAGGCACGAAAGCGUGGGAGCAAACAGGGAUUAGAUACCUU
rnacentral:rRNA from 1 species